UACGAAGGGGGCGAGCGUUGUUCGGAUUUACUGGGCGUAAAAGGGCGCGUAGGCGGCGGGUCAAGUCGAGUGUGAAAGCCCCGGGCUCAACCUGGGAAUUGCGCUCGAGACUGGUCUGCGUUGAGUUCGGGAGAGGAGAGUGGGAAUUCCCAGUGUAGAGGUGAAAUUCGUAGAUAUCGGGAAGAACACCCGUGCGAAGGCGGCUCUCUGGAACGCAACGUGACGCUGAGACGCGAAAGCGUGGGGAGCAAACAGGG
rnacentral:rRNA from 1 species